rnacentral:rRNA from 1 species
UACGUAGGGGGCUAGCGUUGUCCGGAAUCAUUGGGCGUAAAGCGCGUGUAGGCGGCUUGGUAAGUCCGGUGUGAAACCUUGGGGCUCAACCCCAAGCCUGCACUGGAUACUGCCUCGCUUGAGUCCGGGAGGGGAGAGCGGAAUUCCUGGUGUAGCGGUGAAAUGCGCAGAUAUCAGGAAGAACACCAAUGGCGAAGGCAGCUCUCUGGGACGGUACUGACGCUGAGACGCGAAAGCGUGGGGAGCGAACAGG